GACGAACGCUGGCGGCGUGCUUAACACAUGCAAGUCGAACGGAAAGGCCCUGCUUUUGUGGGGUGCUCGAGUGGCGAACGGGUGAGUAACACGUGAGUAACCUGCCCUUGACUUUGGGAUAACUUCAGGAAACUGGGGCUAAUACCGGAUAGGAGCUCCUGCUGCAUGGUGGGGGUUGGAAAGUUUCGGCGGUUGGGGAUGGACUCGCGGCUUAUCAGCUUGUUGGUGGGGUAGUGGCUUACCAAGGCUUUGACGGGUAGCCGGCCUGAGAGGGUGACCGGCCACAUUGGGAAUGGGAUACGGCCGAGACGCCUACGGGAGGCAGCAGUGGGGAAUAUUGCACAAUGGGCGGAUGCAUGAUGCAGCAACGCCGCGUGCGGGAUGACGGCCUUCGGGUUGUAAACCGCUUUCGCAUGUGACGAAGCGUGAGUGACGGUAAUGGGUAAAGAAGCACCGGCUAACUACG
rnacentral:rRNA from 1 species